AGAAAAGCUGUGUAAUAUCAGCCUAACGUGAUAGAAAGACUGUGCUAUACAUACGUAUUCUGAAUCUUCUAUAACACGUCACAAGAUAACAAAACUUGUGCAGAUGAUGUAUUUUUUUUGCAAACGACCUACCAUAUUAACAUCACAUAGGACUCCUGACAUGGACGCAAUAAACAUAAGGAAAGCGACGGUAGAGGACUACGAUACAGUCUACGGUUUGAUUAAGGAAAUGCGAGAAUUUGAGGGGCGCCUGGACGCGUGUGUUUUGACACCUCAAGAAUUCAAACGUGACAGAUUUGGAGAGAACAAGUGUUUUGAAGCCUUUGUGGUGGAGCAUAAAAACAAUAAGGAGGUUAUCGGAUUUGCCACAUACUAUUUCGGGUACAGCGGAGAGUGUGGAAAAGUUCUUUACCUAGAAGACAUUUAUUUCAAACCAGCCUAUAGAUCUAAAGGUUAUGGAACGGCGCUUUUUAAAUACAUAGCAAAGACGAAUUUGGCUCCAGUCUAUGGUACUGUUUAGCUCUUACAACUUUAAUGGUAUUUCGGAUUUCCAAACUUUUGGCUUGAGCAUCACUGAAGAAACAUUAUUUGUCGAAAUGCGCAUCUGCUGUAUCAAAAUUGCUAUUGCCGUUGAUAAAUGCACGAAAAUUCAGUAUCUGUUAGACGUUUUGUGUUGCCAGGCAGAUGAAAUCUCAAUACGGUCUGACCAAAAUGCGCCAGCAAAAAUAACAAUGGAUAGUGGGGCUCGGCGUAUGAAAUGGUGCAUUGUGAACGACCCGUCGUGGAACAGAAAGGCAAUCGAGUUUUAUAAGAAGUUUGAUAGUAUCGACGGCAGCUUAAAGCAGUUGUAUCUCCAGGACGACC